CUUGUUUUCAGCUCCCUUGCAAUGACCAGGAUUUCAUCUGUCUGUGCAUGUGCCUUGGGUGCCUUUUGGAGAAAUCCACCUGUUGGGAUGUAAUAGACUGGAAAAAGCAUAAUCCAUUUGGUAGCCAAGAUAAGCCAAGGCUGAAGCAGCACAUAAAUGCAUCCCUGGCAGGAGGCCAGGUCCCUGUGUUCUGGAAAAAAAGGUGUCGUGUAAUGUCUGAUCAAGAAUUAUGCAGUUGCCGAAGACAAGAAGAUUUUCCCCUUAAAUAAUCAUGGGAAAUUACUACAGCCCCAGAAGCAGGGAGAGCUCAUCUGUCCAUCAGUGAAGAGGCAGAUCCCAAUCUGCCAUUCUGCCAUUCCUCUUGCUGCUGCUUCACCCCAUCCCACUCCUGCUGCUCCAGGCGUUGUGGCUCAGCUCUCACCCACCCAAGCAACCCGGCUCAUCCAAGCAGACCUUUGACAUGAUGUGCUCCUUUACAGGUGCACUGCUAUAAAUCAGGAGCAGGUCCACAGAGGUUGGAGGCUUAGUAUCACUAUAAAAGUGACAUAAGAAAAGCAGGCUCAAACAAGAGUAGAAACUUUGUCCAAUUUUUUUUAAUUUAUACUGAAUGACAGAUUUAUGGAGCACAUUAUAAACUAUUCAAUGCAGACUAUCAUUUUUUUCUCCAGUAUUCCACAUACUGAGACUGGAGCCUCCAGAGUAUGAAUAAUUAUAUGUCUAUUAUAAGGAACAUUUUUAUUUUUAAGCAUGAAAAGCAGCAUUGUCAGCAAAGCAUAAAUAUAUAUUUUGAGAAAGGCGGCUCGCCCGUCUACGAUCUUUAGUAGUGACAGAGGGAAAAAGGUCGUCUAGAACUGUACUCAAAACAUAUCCCCAGACCUACUGUGUCUAGUAUAACACUGACGUAGAAUGAUUGCAUUUUCUUCCACUCUUUUUGCAGUGUUUCUAGUGCUUUUAGGGCUUUUCAUCCCAGUGUUUCACUGUUAUCUCUGUGUGUCUGGGGAUGGUACAGGGACUUUCCAUAUGCUCAGCAUGACUUAAAUAAACUCUUCAGCCAUUUGAAAUGUGGGUGUUAC
rnacentral:lncRNA from 1 species